rnacentral:ncRNA from 1 species
AAGAGGGCCUGAGGUCCCACCCUCACGUCAGGAAGGUCAAAGCCGAGGAAGAAGGAUUUGGAGGUUUUGGAGUAACCUAAAGAGGUGUUUGUUGGGAUAACGGAGCGUGGAGAACGAUGGAAUUGAUUAAAUCACCUAGUGUGAGAUGCGGAGAGGACGGUCUUUCUGAAGACCGCCGCAUGCGGCAGCAAAAGGAGGAAGGCAUGACGCCUGGCCGCUCGCUCAUGGCCAAUACCAGUGGUCAGAGCUUAGAAGGGCAUACCCCUAUGUGGUUAUAAAUACCACUUUAGGGGACUCGCACCGGUGAGUGCGUGUAAAGAGCGUGUGGCGGAAACGCUCACAAUGUCGGUCUAGGGAAAGCAUGUUGGGAUAGCAUGCCGGGACCGGGGUGGAGGUGGGUUAAAAAAAAAAAAAUAGCCAAAUGCCUCGUCAUCUAAUUAGUGACGCGCAUGAAUGGAUUAACGAGAUUCCCACUGUCCCUAC